rnacentral:rRNA from 1 species
GAUGAACGCUGGCGGCGUGCCUAAUACAUGCGAGUCGAGCGAACAGACGAGGAGCUUGCUCCUCUGACGUUAGCGGCGGACGGGUGAGUAACACGUGGAUAACCUACCUAUAAGACUGGGAUAACUUCGGGAAACCGGAGCUAAUACCGGAUAAUAUAUUGAACCGCAUGGUUCAAUAGUGAAAGACGGUUUUGCUGUCACUUAUAGAUGGAUCCGCGCCGCAUUAGCUAGUUGGUAAGGUAACGGCUUACCAAGGCAACGAUGCGUAGCCGACCUGAGAGGGUGAUCGGCCACAUUGGAACUGAGACACGGUCCAGACUCCUACGGGAGGCAGCAGUAGGGAAUCUUCCGCAAUGGGCGAAAGCUUGACGGAGCAACGCCGCGUGAGUGAUGAAGGUCUUCGGAUCGUAAAACUCUGUUAUUAGGGAAGAACAAAUGUGUAAGUAACUAUGCACGUCUUGACGGUACCUAAUCAGAAAGCCACGGCUAACUACGUG